rnacentral:rRNA from 1 species
GACGAACGCUGGCGGCGUGCUUAACACAUGCAAGUCGAACGGAAAGGCCCUGCAUUUGUGGGGUGCUCGAGUGGCGAACGGGUGAGUAACACGUGAGUAGCCUGCCCUUGACUUUGGGAUAACUUCAGGAAAAUGGGGCUAAUACCGGAUAGGAGCUCCUGAUGCAUGGUGGGGGUUGGAAAGUUUCGGCGGUUGGGGAUGGACUCGCGGCUUAUCAGCUUGUUGGUGGGGUAGUGGCUUACCCAGGCUUUGACGGGUAGCCGGCCUGAGAGGGUGACCGGCCACAUUGGGACUGAGAGACGGCCCAGACUCCUACGGGAGGCAGCAGUGGGGAACAUGGCGCAAUGGGCGGAAGCGUGAUGCAGCAACGCCGCGGGCGGGAAGACGGCCUACGGGUUGGAAACCGCUUUCGCCUGUGACGAAGCGUGAGUGACGGUAAUGGGUAAAGAAGCACCGGCUAACUACGUG